rnacentral:rRNA from 2 species
UACGUAGGGGGCAAGCGUUGUCCGGAAUCAUUGGGCGUAAAGAGCGUGUAGGCGGCUUCGUAAGUCCGUUGUGAAAGUCCAGGGCUCAACCCUGGAAUGCCGAUGGAUACUGCGGAGCUAGAGUACGGAAGAGGCGAGUGGAAUUCCUGGUGUAGCGGUGAAAUGCGCAGAUAUCAGGAGGAACACCUAUGGCGAAGGCAGCUCGCUGGGACGUUACUGACGCUGAGACGCGAAAGCGUGGGGAGCAAAC